rnacentral:misc_RNA from 1 species
GAAGUGCGAUAAGUAGUGUGAAUUGCAGAAUUCCGUGGAUCAUCGAAUUUUUGAACGCAAAUUGCACUUUCUGGUAUUCCGGAGAGUAUGCCUGUUUGAGGGUCAGUAAAAUAAAAAAUCGAUUUGUUACCUUAUCGUGAUAUUUCGGAAUUGAGCUAUCUUAAUCUUUAGGUUAAGAGGCUUAAAAUUGACCAUUUUUGGUAUGAUUUAAGCGUGCUAAGAUUACGUUUAAUGAGUAUCGAUGUUUAUUAGGCAUGACCAUGAUCAUGGUUUCGUGCCCAUAAUUUUAUCAUGAAAUGACCUCAAAUCAGGUAGGAUUACCCGCUGAACUUAA